rnacentral:rRNA from 1 species
AAUAUUGCACAAUGGGCGCAAGCCUGAUGCAGCGACGCCGCGUGUGGGAUGAAGGGGCUACGCCUCGUAAACCACUGUAGCCCGGGACGAAAAACGCCUUAGAGGCGUUAGAAGGUACCGGGAAAGUAAGGGUCGGCUAACUACGUGCCAGCAGCCGCGGUAAUACGUAGGACCCAAGCGUUGUCCGGAUUUACUGGGUGUAAAGGGUGCGCAGUCGGAUGGGUAAGUCAGGGGUGAAAGUCUGCAGCUUAACUGUAGAAUUGCCUUUGAGACUGCUCAUCUUGAGGGUGGGAGAGGUUGAUGGCAUUCCAGGGGUAGCAGUGAAAUGCGUAGAUAUCUGGAAGAACACCAGUGGCGAAGGCGGUCAACUGGCCCAUAACUGACGCUCAUGCACGAAAGCGUGGGGAGCAAACA